rnacentral:rRNA from 1 species
AACGAACGCUGGCGGCAGGCCUAACACAUGCCAGUCGAGCGCGCCCUUCGGGGUGAGCGGCGGACGGGUGAGUAACGCGUGGGAACGUGCCCUUUUCUACGGAAUAGCCUCGGGAAACUGAGAGUAAUACCGUAUACGCCCUUUGGGGGAAAGAUUUAUCGGAAAAGGAUCGGCCCGCGUUGGAUUAGGUAGUUGGUGGGGUAAUGGCCUACCAAGCCGACGAUCCAUAGCUGGUUUGAGAGGAUGAUCAGCCACACUGGGACUGAGACACGGCCCAGACUCCCACGGGAGGCAGCAGUGGGGAAUCUUAGACAAUGGGGGCAACCCUGAUCUAGCCAGGCCGCGGGAGUGAUGAAGGCCUUAGGGUUGUAAAGCUCUUUCAGCUGGGAAGAUAAUGACGGGACCAGCAGAAGAAGCCCCGGCUAACUCCGU